rnacentral:rRNA from 1 species
UGAGGAAUAUUGGUCAAUGGACGGAAGUCUGAACCAGCCAAGUAGCGUGCAGGAUGACGGCCCUAUGGGUUGUAAACUGCUUUUGUACGGGGAUAAAGUUAGGGACGUGUCCCUAUUUGCAGGUACCAUACGAAUAAGGACCGGCUAAUUCCGUGCCAGCAGCCGCGGUAAUACGGAAGGUCCAGGCGUUAUCCGGAUUUAUUGGGUUUAAAGGGAGCGUAGGCUGGAGAUUAAGUGUGUUGUGAAAUGUAGACGCUCAACGUCUGAAUUGCAGCGCAUACUGGUUUCCUUGAGUACGCACAACGUUGGCGGAAUUCGUCGUGUAGCGGUGAAAUGCUUAGAUAUGACGAAGAACUCCGAUUGCGAAGGCAGCUGACGGGAGCGCAACUGACGCUUAAGCUCGAAGGUGCGGGUAUCAAACAGG